UGAUAUCCCCGUCAAAGGAAUGCAGGGUUCAAUACACUGCAUGUGCUUGGCCAAACGAUCAGGGGCUUCUUUUGUCUGACAAUGAAUAAUAAUCGGUUUCUCCUUCGUCCUUCGAGUAAGGACAAGUAGCGGAGCCUGGACAACCUAGUUGCUGAACAGCGACGCCAGGUGCCUGGCGUGGGAACAGCACCUAGCACCCGGCGCAUCCCCAUCGCUGCUGCAGCAGCCGUGAUCCUG
rnacentral:lncRNA from 1 species